rnacentral:rRNA from 1 species
CGGCCUGAGAGGGCGACCGGCCACACUGGGACUGAGACACGGCCCAGACUCCUACGGGAGGCAGCAGUGGGGAAUAUUGGGCAAUGGAGGAAACUCUGACCCAGCGACGCCGCGUGCGGGAUGAAGGCCUUCGGGUUGUAAACCGCUUUCAGYAGGGAANAAGCGAAAGUGACGGUACCURCAAAAGAAGCACCGGCUAACUAUGUGCCAGCAGCCGCGGUAAUACAUAGGGUGCAAGCGUUGUCCGGAAUUAUUGGGCGUAAAGAGCUCGUAGGUSGUUUGUUACGUCGGAUGUGAAAAYCUGNGGCUCAACCYCNGGCCUGCAUYCGAUACGGNCAAACUAGAGUUUGGUAGGGGA